rnacentral:rRNA from 1 species
GACGAACGCUGGCGGCGUGCUUAACACAUGCAAGUCGAGCGGUAAGGCCCUUUCGGGGGUACACGAGCGGCGAACGGGUGAGUAACACGUGGGUGACCUGCCCUUAGCUCUGGGGAUAAGCCUGGGAAACUGGGUCUAAUACCGGAUAUGACUCCAUGACGCAUGUUGUGGGGUGGAAAGCCUUGUGCGGCUAGGGAUGGGCCUGCGGCCUAUCAGCUUGUUGGUGGGGUGAUGGCCUACCAAGGCGACGACGGGUAGCCGGCCUGAGAGGGCGACCGGCCACACUGGGACUGAGACACGGGCCCAGACUCCUACGGGAGGCAGCAGGUGGGGAAUCUUGCGCAAAUGGG